UACGGAGGGUGCGAGCGUUAUCCGGAAUUACUGGGUUUAAAGGGUGCGUAGGCGGCCAUUUAAGUCAGGAGUGAAAGUUUGCGGCUCAACCGUAAAAUUGCUUUUGAUACUGCAUGGCUGGAAUCAGGAUGAGGUCAGCGGAAUGUGGCAUGUAGCGGUGAAAUGCAUAGAUAUGCCAUAGAACACCAAUUGCGAAGGCAGCUGGCUAGACCUGUAUUGACGCUGAGGCACGAAAGCGUGGGGAGCGAACAGG
rnacentral:rRNA from 1 species